UACAGAGACUGCAAGCGUUAUUCGGAUUCACUGGGCGUAAAGGGUGCGCAGGCGGCCAAGUGUGUGAGGCGUGAAAGCCUGGAGCUUAACUCCAGAAUUGCACCUCAAACUACAUGGCUAGAGCAUUGGAGAGGGUAGCAGAAUUCACGGUGUAGCAGUGAAAUGCGUAGAUAUCGUGAGGAAUACCAGAGGUGAAGGCGGCUACCUGGACAAUUGCUGACGCUCAGGCACGAAAGCGUGGGGAGCAAAAGGG
rnacentral:rRNA from 1 species